rnacentral:misc_RNA from 1 species
AGCAGCCGCGGUAAUUCCAGCUCCAAUAACGUAUAUUAAAGUUGCUGCAGUUAAAAAGCUCGUAGUUGAAUUUCGGGACUAAUAUGUCGGUCGUGCCUCGGUACGUACUGGCUUAUUGGUUUCUCCUUUCUGAAGAACCAUGAUGUCAUUUAUUUGGUGUCGUGGGGAAUCAGGACUGUUACUUUGAAAAAUUAGAGUGUUUAAAGCAGGCUCACGCUUGAAUACAUUAGCAUGGAAUAAUGAAAUAGGACGUUUGAUUCUAUUUUGUUGGUUUCUAGGAUCGACGUAAUGAUUAAUAGGGAUAGUUGGGGGCAUUAGUAUUCAAUUGUCAGAGGUGAAAUUCUUGGAUUUAUUGAAGACUAACUACUGCGAAAGCAUUUGCCAAGGAUGUUUUCAUUAAUCAAGAACGAAAGUUAGGGAUCGAAGACGAUCAGAUACCGUCGUAGUCUUAACCAUAAACUAUGCCGACUAGGGAUCGGAUGAUGUUAAUUUUUUAAUGUACUCAUUCGGCGCCUUACGG